rnacentral:rRNA from 1 species
GUGGGGAAUAUUGGACAAUGGGCGCAAGCCUGAUCCAGCCAUGCCGCGUGAGUGAUGAAGGCCCUAGGGUUGUAAAGCUCUUUCAGUGGGGACGAUAAUGACGGUACCCACAGAAGAAGCCCCGGCUAACUUCGUGCCAGCAGCCGCGGUAAUACGAAGGGGGCUAGCGUUGUUCGGAAUUACUGGGCGUAAAGCGCACGUAGGCGGACAUUUAAGUCAGGGGUGAAAUCCCGGGGCUCAACCCCGGAACUGCCUUUGAUACUGGGUGUCUUGAGUUCGGAAGAGGUGAGUGGAAUUGCGAGUGUAGAGGUGAAAUUCGUAGAUAUUCGCAGGAACACCAGUGGCGAAGGCGGCUCACUGGUCCGAUACUGACGCUGAGGUGCGAAAGCGUGGGGAGCAAACAGGAUUAGAUACCCCAGUAGUCC